UAGGUUUUUGUUGAAGCAAUAUUCUUCUGUUUGUCCAUUUUAGUCUGAUACUGAAUAAGAUGAUAAAUGUACUUCACUCGCAUCAAAAUUUAAAGGAUUCUUACGAAAACACUGGUUCAGUGUGUCCGUCCCUUAUAUAGGUUAAAUAUGAUAAUAUUCUCUCAGUAAUUUUAUAUUUAUUUAUUAUUUUUCAAUGUGUAUAGGUCUAGUCCUUCAAUGGCAGUAUAAGUUUAGUAAAAAAAAAGAAAAGGUGCAUAUCUUGAGUCCUAUGCCAUAUAUAGCCAGCAUAGCUUCAGACCGUCCUGCGCAUGGGAUCACUCUGGUCAGGAGCUACCCUGCCCUCUUUAAAUCCAUUUAAUGUGAUGUGGUUUGUGGACAGGGUAGCUCCGGACAAGACUGAAUGCUGGCUACCCUGCCCUCUAUAAAGCCAUUUAAUGUGAUGUGGUUUGUGGACAGGGUAGCUCCGGACAAGACUGUGAAUGCUGGCUACUUUGGUUGCAUAUGGCACAUGAUGCAUUUUCGCAUUACACAGUUAACCCUUUCCCGGUCAGAAGUAAAGUGAAAAUUGCUCUAUGCAAACAGCAUAAAAGCAGAUCAGCCAGUGAGGAACUAGCAGUCUGCUCAGGUUUAGAAAUGAAGCAUUUAAAACUUGAAUGUAGUAAGAAAGGUGUUAAAAUUAAUUUGAUUUUUUAAGGGACUACAAAUGCAUCAGUGUGUUUCUGAGGGGUAAAGGGUUAAUAUAAUGUUAGCCACGCUCUGUGAAAAGGGGGUUUAAUGCAUGUGUGUAAAGUGUAGUGCAUGUGCGUGAAGUGGAGUCUCAGAAAGUGUAGUCUCAAAUAAUCAGGUGCAGUCAGCACAGGCCAAUAAGGGACAGCCCUUUCCGCUGUUAUAUUUUUUAUAAGUUUAGGGGGGUAUACAAGAGUGAGGUUGUCGGUCAGUCCGUAUAUAGGGGCUAUAUAGGAGUCACUUUGUCGGUCGGUCUGUCCCGAAAUUUCAUCCGAUCUUCACCAAACUUGUCACAAGUUGUAUCUUGAUGAUGUAUAGGUCAAGUUUUAAUAUGGGUCAUGCCAGGUCAAAAACUAGGUCACGGGGUCACUUUUGUGUGUUUUAGACCGAAAGUGUGUCCGGACCAUAACUAUGUCAUUUAUCGUUAGAUUUUAAAAGAACUUGGUACAUUUGUUCACCAUCAUGAGACAGUUUGUCGCGUGAUAAAAGUACGUCGAUAUCUCCAAGGUCAUGGUCACACUUGGAGUUCAAGGGUCAAAUGCUUGUCCGGGCCAUAACUUUAUCAUUUAUUGUGAGAUUUUAAAAUCAUUGGGCAAAUUUGUUCACCAUCAUGGGACGGUAUGUCGCGCAAAAGAAUUACGUCGAUGUCUCGAAGCGUUGAGUUCAAAGAUUAAAAAUGGCCAUAAAUGAGCUUGUCUGGGCAAUAACUAUGUUGUUCAUUGUGAGAUUUAUAAAUCAUUUGGCACAUUUGUUCACCAUCAUUGGACGGUGUGUUGCUUGAAAGAAUUACGUCGAUAUCUCCAAGGUCAAGGUCUCGCUUUGAGUUCAAAGGUCAAAAAUGGCCAUAAAUGAGCUUGUCCGGGCCAUAACUAUGUCAUUCAUUGUGAGAUUUUAAAAUCAUUUGGCUGGCAUAUUUGUUCACCAUCAUUGGACGGUGUGUCGCGCGAAAGAAUUAUGUCGAUAACUCAAAGGUCAAGGUCACACUUUGAGUUCAAAGGUCAAAAAUGGCCAUAAAUGAGCUUGUCCCGGCCAUAAGUAAGUUGCUCAUUGUGAGAUUUUAAAAUCAUUUGGCACAUUUGUUCACCAUUAUCGGACGGUGUGUCGCGCGAAAGAAUUACGUCGAUAUCUGCAACGUCAAGGUCACACUGUGAGUUCAAAGGUCAAAAAUGGCCAUAAAUGAUCUUGUCCGGGCCAUAACUAUGUCAUUGAUUGUGAGAUUUAAAAAAUACCUGGUACAUUUGUUCACAAUCAUUGGAGGAUGUGUCAUGCAAAAGAUUUAUGUCGAUAACUCCAAGGUCUAGGCCACACUUAAAGUUCGAAAGAAAAAAAAAAUGGCCAUAAAUUUGGACGGCUUGUCAUGCAAAAGAAUUCAAGAGUUCAAGGGUCGAAAUGGCCAUUAAUGAUAAUGGCAUUAUAAUUCUUUAAAAUCGCCAUAAAUUUGAUUCUCUUGUUUUGUGAAGACAGCAUGCAAAAUAGUCUGUGUCAAUGCGGCACUUUGGGGUAUACGUCACGUCUACGACAAAGCUCUAGUUCAAGUUGUUUUCAUCCGAUCUUCGCCAAACUUGGUCAGAUGUUGUAUCUUGAUGAUGUCUAGGUCAAGUUCGAAUAUGGGUCAUGCUGGGUCAAAAACUAGGUCACGGGGCCACUUAGUACAUUUUACACAUUCAGCAUGUAGUCUGCUCUCUAAUUCAAUAGUUUUCAUCCGAUCUUCAGCACACUUGCUCAGAAGUUUUAUCUAGAUGAUGUGUAGGUCAAGUUGGAACAUGGGCCAUGCCGGGUCAAAAACUAGGUCACGAGUCUCUUGGUGCGUUAAAAACAUUGAGAAUGGUGUCCGCUGUUUUUUGUGAAGACAACAUGCAUAAUAUUCUGUAUCAGUGCGGCAUGUGGGGGUAUUGGUCACAUCUGUGACAAAGUUUUAGUUUUAUUAUGUUGCAAAUUCAGAAUUCAUCGGGAUUCUCUAAGGUAGAUAAUUUAUUUAUCAAUUCUAGUUCUUUAUACAAAAAUAAAAUAUAUAUAUUUAGUUGUGUUUGUUAAAUUUUGCACCCGAGAUCUGUCUCUGCCUUGUAGACAUUUGACAUUUGCACGGGUGCUAGAGUAAUAGGAGUAUAGGUUCUGUGACUGCUUCAAGUAUUCACAGGGUACAACUCUCCUUACAAAACAUGCAAGCAGAAUCAAGACCCACUGUUACUAUUACCCCCACAAACGAUGUGUAGGUCAAGUUUGAACAUGGGCCAUGCUGGGUCAAACACUAGGUCACAGGGUCACUGAGUGCGUUUUAAGCAUUGAUCACGUGUCCGCUGUUUUUUGUGAAAACAACAUGCAAAAUAUUCUGUGUCAAUGCGGCAUGUGGGGUUAUUUGUCACAUUUGUGACAAAGCUCUAGUUUUGUUUAAAGAAAAAUUCUUAACAAGAAUAUAGUUUAGUCAGAAAGUGACAGCACAAGCUUAUAGCGGACAACACCACUUACAUGCAUGAAACUCCCUUUUUAUGCCCCCAGUAGGGUGGCAUAUAGCAUUUGAACUGUCUGUCAGUCCGUCUGACCAAAAACUUUAAAAUUGGCCAUAACUUUUGCAAUAUUGAAGAUAGCAACUUGAUAUUUGGCAUGCAUGUCACGAUGUGUAUCUCAUGGAGCUGCACAUUUCGAGUUGUGGAAGGUAAAGGUCAUUCUUCACGGUCAAAAAAAAAAAAAAAAAAAGCAAUCCAAGGGAAGUAAUAAGCUUUAAAAGGGAGAUAAUUUCUAAACCUGACAAAUGAUGUAUUGAAAUUUUAUUUCAAAGCGGCGCAAUAGGGGGCAUUGUGUUUCUGACAAACACAUCUCUUGUCUUUAAUAUAAUAGUAUGUUAUGUCCACA